GCCAAUUCUGAACUCACAAGUACUUUUAAAACAGAGCCCUUUCCUCCCCACAUUCCCAUGCCUGCGUCAACACCGAGAUUCUUCCUGGUGAACACUUGUUUGAAUCUGGUCACAAGGAUGUUUGAUGGCAGUGGAGCCUGAAUUUGUCCUCUCUAUAGUGAAUGGCAAUCCAAGUGUCCCUGUUGGUGGACAGAGUACAAGUCCCACAUAGCCCGAGCUUCAUACACACGAAUGAUUCCUAAGCAGCUCGAUUAUCCCUCACGGGAUGGUUAUUGAGAGCCAACCUAGAGUGGAAGACUUGAGUCAGUCCUCACCAGUGUGUUUGCUAUUCACCUGUCUCAGUAUUAAAUUGUGAAUGAAAAGCCAGUGUUUGGGCUCAUACCGGAACCUUGGAGGAGUGGACCCUUCUAGAAGUGUGAGAACCCUGCAGUCAAUCGGAGGAAGGACACUUUCCACCACCUGUUCCAUCCAGGCAGUUCUAAGGCCACCACUAUACAUGUCCUAUGGACAUUCAGGAUUGGGCUUUGAUUAGUCGUCAGUCAGAUGGGUCACUCUGAAGGAAAGGUUUGGUAGUUGGCACUAUACCACUGAUAAAAAGUAUUAGCAAAGUAUACUUCAAAUUAACUGACAUGACCAAGAGCUUUUCUCUUUAAAAAGAUGGAUUUUAUUGUAUAUAGUUUCUCAAAAUAUUUUUAACUGGAUCAUGAGCAUGGGGAGAGAAAGAUUCUCAGCUGCUAUGAAUUUCCCCACUGUUUACUUCUCUCAUUUACAGUGGUAUUGUGUAAGAUUACAAAAUUUUAGGUUUUAUUUGUAUCUAUUACCCAAACCAUUAAAUUGUCUUUAAUUUCAUCAUUGUCUUAGAAGCCCAGUGCAUGAAGAGCUGAUGGGGGGAAGCCCCUCUAGCCACUCAGCGCUCUGACCCAGGAUUAAAACCACCCAUCAAAUAGUGUGUGAAGUCCAGUCUUUGUAAACUCUCUCAGACCAAACGUUAUUGAAGUGAACUCAUCCAUAUAAUCUAAGUCCUGUAAGUGGAAGGACAAACAGCUGCCAGCAGCUGCUUUUAAAGGGUCACUAUGAUCACUACAUAGCACAGUAUUAAUUUAUAGCAGGAAUCAUAUCUUGUAAAAUGUAUAUAUAAAACACUUUUAUGGUGCAAUCAUUUGUCAGAUUUUGUCUGUUACAUUGUUCUUAGAGUGUACAUUCUCUCAUGCCUAAGAAUAUCACUGUAAAAUCUGCUGAAAACUAUUUUUAGGUUUUAUUUGCACAAGACUGAACUAGUUUGAGUUUUUGGGAAGCUCCUAUCGAACAAGCCUACACAUCUGUAAAGAUAAAAACCUUCAGUUCAUUAAAAGCAACCAUUAGUACAAUUCUUUCAAGGUAAUCCACGUUCUGUGUUGUUAGUGUGUGGGUGGGAUGUUUCUGACUUUCCCAUCUCUCACAAUUCUUUCCAAGGUAAUCCAUGUUCUGUGUUGUUGGUGUGUGGGUGGAAUGUUUCUGACUCUCCCAUCUCUCACAAACCUAUUUUCUGUUCCAUCUGUUUUGUUUUUGAAGGAUGCCUUCUUUUUCUUUUGUAAUGUUCUAGAUGACCAAAACACAUUCUUGGGUUUUGCCUACAGCUUUGAUUUCUCCGUGUGUUGUUGUAUGAGUUCACUGUUUAAUCUCUUCAGUGAAAUAGAUAGUCCUGGUGACAGGCAAUCUGUUGGUUUAGAGGAAAGGUCCUGAAAAAGUGUUGGAAAUUAACUUUGGAUCUGUUCUUAGCUGUUAUUUUGCAUCAUGGGCUUCAUGAGAAGAACAUGUUGCAUUUAUUUUGUCUUUAUUAAAAGACUACUAGUCACCAGUUACUCUGGUCAUAGUAACUGUUUUAUCAACCCACUUUGAUCUUUUUUUUAAGGAUUAAAUUUUCAUUCACAAGUCAAAACAGUAAGCUGUCUUUUAGAAAAGUUUUGAAGGAUAAAAAUAUAUGAAGGAGAAAGGCGGUCUGUGUAGGUGGAAUCGUCUACACAGAAUUUUAGUUGUGUGGCCUUGAGAGACUUUAGGUUGUGGUCAAGGACUGUAUAUUAUCCAAAACUUUAUUAAGAAUUGUUUUCUAAUUGGUUAUAACAUUUUUUCAAUUAAUAGUUUCAAAACAAAUUGUUAAUACAACUGUAUAAAGUGAACAUAAUUUUCUUCACUUGUAUUUUUGUUAUUGAGCAAGUUUAUCAAAAUAAAUUGUCUACUAAAGAAACUAAAA
rnacentral:lncRNA from 1 species